rnacentral:lncRNA from 1 species
AUAGACGAGGUUCUUGUAACCGUCGGAUGUGGUCCCAUAUUUUAUGGUGUUAAAUCAUCGGGCCAUAAUCACAUAGUGGGUCAUUAAUUUUCCAAUUAUGAUGUCGUGAUGUACGGCUGGUAACCGUUCAUUACGGGUAUGACAUAUUAAGUAGAUUAGCCGACUGUAUGUCGGUAGUAGGCACAGCCAUUAGUUGAUGAUUCUACUGUAUUAUCGGUCACCAACUAUAAGUCGGUCACAUUUGUUCAAUCAGUU